AAGGCUUCUCGGCCUUUUGGCUAAGAUCAAGUGUAGUAUCUGUUCUUAUCAGUUUAAUAUCUGCUUCUAGACUGUGAGCCCGCUGUUGGGUAGGGACCGUCUCUAUAUGUUGCCAACUUGGACUUCCCAAGCGCUUAGUACAGUGCUCUGCACACAAUAAGCGCUCAAUAAAUACGAUUGAUUGAUUGAUUGUACUUCCC